CGGGGCUUAAAGUCUUGUAAUUGGAAUGAUGGGAAUUUAAACCUCUUCCAGAGUAUCAAUUGGAGGGCAAGUCUGGUGCCAGCAGCCGCGGUAAUUCCAGCUCCAAUAGCGUAUAUUAAAAUUGUUGCAGUUAAAAAGCUCGUAGUUGAAUUUCUGCUGCAUUGCUUAUUCCCUUUAGGGUUUUAGCACGUGGCUUAUUUCGGACGGUUCGCUGUCUGGAUGUUUACUUUGAGAAAAUUAGAGUGCUCAAAGCAGGCUUUUGCCUUGAAUAGUUUAGCAUGGAAUAAUAAAGUAGGACUUUGGUUCUAUUUUGUUGGUUUUAGGUACCAAAGUAAUGGUUAAUAGGAACAGUUGGGGGCAUUCGUAUUUAACUGUCAGAGGUGAAAUUCUUAGAUUUGUUAAAGACGAACUACUGCGAAAGCAUUUGCCAAGGAUGUUUUCAUUAAUCAAGAAC
rnacentral:rRNA from 1 species